rnacentral:rRNA from 1 species
AUGACCGCCGGGUGGUCCGCUGGUGCGGGCCUAACCGGGCAAGCACAAGGUCCGGCGCUCGGCCUCACAGGGCGCGGGCGCAGCCUAGGCGGUGGAGGUGGCCGUGGAGAGUGCUACGACGCUGCCGUACAUGGCCGCGGACAAGGCAAUGAUAACACGGCUGUGGGGGCGACCUUGGCCAUGCUGCUGGGCAUGGCAACGGUGGACAUGGCCUUGGCGUUGGGCGUGGCGCGCGAGGUAGUGCUGGCCGUGGCGUUGGGCGCGGCGCCGGUCGUGGCGUCGGUCGCGGCACCGGUCGUGCAGCCGGUCGUGGCCGUGGACAUAGCGACAUGGACGAGGCUGCGGGCCAUGGCGCCGGUUGUGCAGCAGGACGUGGCCGUGGAGCCAGAGGUGGGUGUGGGUUGGGCAACGUCCAAGAGGCCAUGGUCAUUGGUGUCGAACAUGGCACCAGGCCUAGCGUCGGGCAUGGAGCCGGACGUGGCCGCCGCAUACUAG